rnacentral:rRNA from 1 species
UACGAAGGGGGCUAGCGUUGCUCGGAAUGACUGGGCGUAAAGGGCGCGUAGGCGGAUGGCACAGUCAGAUGUGAAAUUCCCGGGCUUAACCUGGGGGCUGCAUUUGAUACGUGUGAUUUAGAGUGAGGAAGAGGGUCGUGGAAUUCCCAGUGUAGAGGUGAAAUUCGUAGAUAUUGGGAAGAACACCGGUGGCGAAGGCGGCGACCUGGUCCUUGACUGACGCUGAGGCGCGAAAGCGUGGGGAGCAAACAGG